rnacentral:rRNA from 1 species
GAUGAACGCUGGCGGCGUGCUUAACACAUGCAAGUCGAACGGAAAGGCUCCUGCUUGCUGGGGUACUCGAGUGGCGAACGGGUGAGUAACACGUGGGUGAUCUGCCCUGCACUUCGGGAUAAGCCUGGGAAACUGGGUCUAAUACCGGAUAGGACGAUGGUUUGGAUGCCAUUGUGGAAAGUUUUUCGGUGUGGGAUGAGCUCGCGGCCUAUCAGCUUGUUGGUGGGGUAGUGGCCUACCAAGGCGUCGACGGGUAGCCGGCCUGAGAGGGUGUACGGCCACAUUGGGACUGAGAUACGGCCCAGACUCCUACGGGAGGCAGCAGUGGGGAAUAUUGCACAAUGGGCGCAAGCCUGAUGCAGCGACGCCGCGUGGGGGAUGACGGCCUUCGGGUUGUAAACUGCUUUCGCUAGGGACGAAGCGCAAGUGACGGUACCUGGAGAAGAAGCACCGGCUAACUACGUG